UCCUACUACUCGUGAGUUUCCACCCCAGAUCUCCUCCCGCCGAUCCAGUUCCCCGUCAGUGCCAAUGGUUUUAACGAUCGGUGGGGGCAUUUUGGUUCUAUAGAUAGGAUUGCUUGCGCGGCUCCCAUUUGGAUUCAGAAUUGUACAUGGUGAUCUGGUGGAGGAGGAGCUGCAUGCAGCUUUCCCAUGAGAAAAUAAAUCCACAAUUCUGGGCGGGGAAUAGCUUUCACAAGAAAAUGAAUGAUGGGGAAGAAAGACGGGGAAUAUCUUCCAGCAAACACUCAUGUGUUGGAGAAGUGAAAAUGGGCAGUGGUUCUGAAUAUUUGAUCUGAAACAUGUUUUCUCAUCUCUAGCACUAGCAGGACGGCGAUCAUGGCGAAGGAUGCCUUAGAAUGAACCAACGCUGAUGGCAUCUGGCAUAUUUGCCCAAGGAUUCGAUUACAGCAACAGUGACAGAAGCAGGUAUGAUAAAACUAGACUGAUUCGAUUACCACCUGCCAUCGCGCCUAGGCGCCCACUCGCCGUGUGUCAUCAUUAACAAGAUCUCGACAUCUAGGAGCACAAGUUUGGCCACCGCCCCUGCCAGGGGAACAUUCAAACGCUCACUGGCGACCUAGAUAAAUACAAGCACAUGCAUGGCUUCUUUCUACUCCAUGUCAGCCAUACACACGGCAAGGCCCUCAGAAGCAUUCAACUGAUGCUCGUGCGUUUUCCUUCAUCAAGAUUCUUAUUAACCUCAUGCAAAACAUGAGCUAUCCUUCACAAAUCUUAUUUGUGGAAAAUGUGGUCGGAUUUGAGGUGUCUGGUACACAUGACCAGUUGCUGGAGGUCCUUUCAAGUCUGAAUUUUAACUUACAAGAAUUCAUCCAUGGUGAGCUGCUGUUCUUGAUCGAUCAUUGGUUGCUGCUUUGUCAGAGUGAUUAUUGUACACUGAUAUUUCUGAUUUAUCUUAUACUUGGUUUUGAUCGAUCAAGUCGAGUCAUGCCCGUUGGUGCAAUCAGAAAUUAGUGGUUUUAUCAGUUUGAUGAAUUAUCUAAGAUUAUUUGGUUGUCUCUGAAAUAUAUUAUGCUAUUUGACUAAUGCAUCAACUCUUGCCAAGACAGAGCUGUUUACUUUGUGCUAUAUGACAUGGCAACCUGAGCGUGUGCUAGAGAGGCCGACAUAGAUAGAAAGAGAGACAAAGAGGUGAGCCGCUGGUGUUCCUAAUCGACCACUGGUUGCUGCUUUGAUAGAUAAAUUAUUGUACAUUGAUAUUUUUUGGUUUUGCUUAUACUUCUUUUGAUCAAUCAAGUCGAGUCAUGUUGUUUGCUUC